AUAUAUGCAUAUAUACACACACAUAUAUAUAUGUGUGUGUGUGUGUGUGUGUAUAU
rnacentral:miRNA from 1 species